rnacentral:rRNA from 1 species
UACGAAGGUCCCAAGCGUUGUUCGGAAUCACUGGGCGUAAAGGGAGCGUAGGCGGCGUGGUAAGUCAGAUGUGAAAUCCCGGGGCUCAACCCCGGAACUGCAUCCGAUACUGCCAUGCUUGGAGGGUUGGAGAGGUAGCUGGAAUUCUCGGUGUAGCAGGUGAAAUGGCGUGGAUAUCGAGAGGACACUCGGUGGCGAAGGCGGCUCUGGGAAGAUACUGACGCUGAGGUGCGAAAAGCGUGGGGAGCAAACAGG